UACGUAGGCAGCGAGCGUUGUUCGGAAUUACUGGGCGUAAAGAGUGUGUAGGCGGUGCUCUAAGUUCGGUGUGAAAUCUCCUGGCUCAACUGGGAGGGUGCGCCGGAAACUGGAGUGCUUGAGCGCGGGAGAGGAAAGCGGAAUUCCUGGUGUAGCGGUGAAAUGCGUAGAUAUCAGGAGGAACACCUGUGGUGUAGACGGCUUUCUGGACCGUAGCUGACGCUGAGACACGAAAGCGCGGGUAGCAAACAGG
rnacentral:rRNA from 1 species